rnacentral:rRNA from 1 species
UACGUAGGGUGCGAGCGUUGUCCGGAAUUACUGGGCGUAAAGAGCUCGUAGGUGGUUCGUCGCGUUGUCCGUGAAAACUCACAACUCAAUUGUGGGCGUGCGGGCGAUACGGGCAGACUUGAGUACUGCAGGGGAGACUGGAAUUCCUGGUGUAGCGGUGGAAUGCGCAGAUAUCAGGAGGAACACCGGUGGCGAAGGCGGGUCUCUGGGCAGUAACUGACGCUGAGGAGCGAAAGCGUGGGGAGCGAACAGG